rnacentral:lncRNA from 1 species
GGCCCAAGCAGGCCAGGCAAUGAGGACACCUCCUGUCAGCAGCCCAGGGCCCAGCGAGGGGCUGUCAUACUCUCCUUCCAUCUAUCCCGGCAAAGGGUCAUUGCUCAGGGCUCCUGGGAACUGGAGUUCAAGGUGAUGGCUGCUGGGGAGCUAGGCUGUGUCACUCAGCCUGGAUAGCUGAGGCUGAGGUUGCUAACACGGGAGGGGAGGGUGACCGGAGGAACAGCAGAUUCAUCAUGACAUCAUUGCCUGAGAGCAUCAAGUUCACCUUCACUGCGUGCUCAGGAGUGGCAGAACCGUCUUUUUUUCAGAUGGGGAGAUGAAGAUGCAAGACGGGAGAGGCCUGGGGCCCAAGGUCAUCUGCAGAGACAAGCCCCAGGCGCUAGAUGAAGUGAAAGCAGGCUACAGCCGACUUGGAUUAAGGACAGGACAAUGUACACCGACCCCCAUUUCCACCCUCCACCUCCAGUUUUCCUUCUGGAACAGCUUUCAGUAUCCGUCUGUCUGUCUUCUGGUCUUCUCUACUGCUUGGACAACACAGAGCUGGCCCAGACUGAUCAGGGAAGCAGCCACUACUGGAAGAGGGUGCUCUCCCACUCCAGGAGCCCUCCCGGUGUCGUCGUCCCCCUCCCCCG